GAUCCUGGCUCAGGAUGAACGCUAGCUACAGGCUUAACACAUGCAAGUCGAGGGGAAACGACAUCGAAAGCUUGCUUUUGAUGGGCGUCGACCGGCGCACGGGUGAGUAACGCGUAUCCAACCUGCCCGCCACUUGGGGAUAACCUUGCGAAAGUAAGACUAAUACCCAAUGACAUCCCACGAAGACAUCUGAAUGGGAUUAAAGGUUUACCGGUGUAAGAUGGGGAUGCGUUCCAUUAGAUAGUAGGCGGGGUAACGG
rnacentral:rRNA from 1 species